rnacentral:rRNA from 1 species
AUUGAACGCUGGCGGCAGGCCUAACACAUGCAAGUCGAAUGGUAACAGGAAACAGCUUGCUGUUUCGCUGACGAGUGGCGGCCGGGUGAGUAAUGUCUGGGAAACUGCCUGAUGGAGGGGGAUAACUACUGGAAACGGUAGCUAAUACCGCAUAACGUCGCAAGACCAAGGAGGGGGACCUUCGGGCCUCUUGCCAUCAGAUGUGCCCAGAUGGGAUUAGCUAGUAGGUGGGGUAACGGCUCACCUAGGCGACGAUCCCUAGCUGGUCUGAGAGGAUGACCAGCCACACUGGAACUGAGACACGGUCCGGACUCCUACGGGAGGCAGCAGUGGGGAAUAUUGCACAAUGGGCGCAAGCCUGAUGCAGCCAUGCCGCGUGUAUGAAGAAGGCCUUCGGGUUGUAAAGUACUUUCAGCGGGGAGGAAGGGAGUAAAGUUAAUACCUUUGCUCAUUGACGUUACCCGCAGAAGAAGCACCGGCUAACUCCGUG